rnacentral:lncRNA from 1 species
UUGGAAGAGGUGAACUUGGUAAAGAGGAAAGAGGUGUGUGUAGGGAUAGGCAGGGCCAUCCCUGUUGCUGUAAGUGGAUGUCUGUGCUGCACACAUACCUUACUGGUCCACAUUGUCCCCCUCACCGGGAACCUACUGGAAUAUCCACACCUGCACCUGCCAUGGUGAAGCCGGAAAUGCACUCUCCCCAGCCUUGGUAUAUCUUGAGCCCAGGACAGGGCACAGGUUGCUCCAAGGUGUAGAUUCAUGCAUUUUACCGGAAGAUAAGAGGAAAAAGAAAAAGGAGAGAUAAAAGCAGUUUGGAGACAAAGGGAAGAGAUGACAUCUUACAAGUAUAAAGCCUGUUCAAUAAAAUGUGAUUUCAUGAUUGUCAUUUGACAACAUCCCUGGCUUUUGUUUGUUUGUUUCUGGUAAGUAAGGAAACAAAUGACCAAUGACCACAUCCCUGUUGUUUGUAAGCUGCACUGUGAAUUCUUGUGAAGAACAGUGUAAAAACUUCUCUGUUUACAGGGUAGAGACAAAUUUACUUUCCAUUUCUGAUAACAACGGAGUCAGUCUUCCCUGCUGCCGAGGAUUUUUUGAAACAGCGUGAAUACUGCUCCUUCGCAUUUCUGAGAGAGGGCAGAACCGGGUCAUCGUGUUGCUUGACAGAGGGCCAUGAUAACUGUCUACAGAUAUUUAAAGGGUGUAAAUGAAGACUUGAUUGCUUUAAGAUAUCUUGGUACUAACUUCGUUUAUUAAAGAUGCAAAAGAUUUGGGUGAGGUAUGUCAGAGCCCCAAUCCUUCAGAAACAUUUUACAGGGCUGGGGGUAUGACCCACCCAGUGAGUGGAACUUGAGCCCUGAGUGGAGAGGGCCUUUGGGGACUGUAUCAGGGAGGAGGACACAAAGCCGUGGAUGAGACCGGUCUCAUCGUGGCCUCUGCAAAGACCUCGCAAGGGAGGACAAUCACAACAUAAUGGCAUUCCAGAGCAGUGGAAGGUAUUCAUUAGCACUCCAGUGAGGAGAGAGAAAAAACAGAAGGAGGAACAGAGAGGAACAGACUCAAGCUCAGGGAAAUGGACAUUAUCCAGCUUGUUGACAGAGACCUCAUUCCGUUUCAUUCUUGACUCUGCCUGUCCACCUUUCUCGUGUGUCUCUGUUCUUUGCAUCUUCCAUGGAAACACGGGAUGAGAACAGGGUGAAGGCUCUCAGAGCAGUUAAAUUGUAUUCCUUUUUGGCAACUCUAGUGAAAUCCUGUCUGAUGAAUUUGGAACUAUUGAUUGCGAUAAAGUUAUUAAUAUUAAAGUUUCUUG